rnacentral:rRNA from 1 species
CCUACGGGUGGCAGCAGUGGGGAAUAUUGGACAAUGGGCGAAAGCCUGAUCCAGCCAUGCCGCGUGUGUGAAGAAGGCCUUCGGGUUGUAAAGCACUUUCAGUGGGGAAGAAAGCCUUGGGGCUAAUACCCUCGAGGAAGGACAUCACCCACAGAAGAAGCACCGGCUAACCCCGUGCCAGCAGCCGCGGUAAUACGGAGGGUGCGAGCGUUAAUCGGAAUUACUGGGCGUAAAGCGCGCGUAGGCGGUCUGAUAAGCCGGUUGUGAAAGCCCCGGGCUCAACCUGGGAACGGCAUCCGGAACUGUCAGGCUAGAGUGCAGGAGAGGAAGGUAGAAUUCCCGGUGUAGCGGUGAAAUGCGUAGAGAUCGGGAGGAAUACCAGUGGCGAAGGCGGCCUUCUGGACUGACACUGACGCUGAGGUGCGAAAGCGUGGGUAGCAAACAGGAUUAGAUACCCCAGUAGUC